rnacentral:rRNA from 1 species
UACGUAGGUGGCAAGCGUUGUCCGGAAUUAUUGGGCGUAAAGCGCGCGCAGGCGGCCUCUUAAGUCUGAUGUGAAAGCCCCCGGCUCAACCGGGGAGGGCCAUUGGAAACUGGGAGGCUUGAGUAUAGGAGAGAAGAGUGGAAUUCCACGUGUAGCGGUGAAAUGCGUAGAGAUGUGGAGGAACACCAGUGGCGAAGGCGACUCUUUGGCCUAUAACUGACGCUGGGGCGCGAAAGCGUGGGGAGCAA